GUUUCUGUAUGCAAUCACCAAGCAGAAAAGAUAUCCGGAUGUUCUAUUAAGGGGUAAGCCAGCUACCAUACUGUGAAAACACUCAAGCAGCAUCACUGAAGGACCUGCAUGGAGAGAAAUUGAGGUCUCCACUCAACUAGCAAGUACCAUAUUCCCAGCCAUGCAUAUGAGUUACAUUGGAAGUGAAUCAGCAGCUCCCUUCCAGCCUUCAGAUGACUAUAGCAGCAGUUGACAUUAAACAACAAUCUCACAAGACACACCCAGCUGUCACAUAUAUGAGAUGGAGGCAAUAAUACCAAUCCUACCUCCUAUCAGGGUGAGUGAAUGGCUUAAGUGAGAGGGCAGAUGAUAAACUUCUGGGAGCAGCUCUGAUACAGAAGAGAAAGCAUGGAUCUAAGUAAUGGUACUCUUCCUAAAUUUGAGGUCUGAUUCCACUUUUUACAAGAGAAAAGAAGCACCUGCUGAUUUUCUGCUUUAUCAAGAAACACCUGCUGCUUUAUCAAGAGUGAGUAGAGAUCUAGCCUUCCCACUGGACUUUGCCCUGUAAGUCCUUCUGGAGUGGUACAGAAAAGCUUCAGAAGCUUUUUCCAAGAGGAAUCUUGUGCGACUCUGGCUAUAAACAAUGCUCCUCUGGACCCAGGUACCAAUGGGAAACACACAGUAGGAGACAUAAUUUAUCUUCCCAUUUGUGCUCCAACACCCUGAGGAAGGACUGCACCUACAGUUUUGCAGUUAUAGCAGCCUGAGCAUUGUGCUAGAGAAAGACAUGUUCUUCCCAGAGCGACAGUGGUAGCUGGCCCAGCAGAGCACCAGUGGAGACAGCAAAGACACGGUGCAGCCUGGUAAAAGAACAUUGGCUUGAAGCAUGUCCAUCCUCAACACUGAGACAUAUUGAACCCGUAAGAAUGCUUAAGGAGAAAUUCUCAGGGACACCAGUUCCUACACUUAUGAUGGUGAGAGGUAAAGAAAAAUGUGAAAUUUGGGUGCAAAUGCUAAUAUUAGUGUAUCUGUGCCUUAGAGUGGUGGUCUUUGGGAUUCUUCAGGCUCUUUAUUUAGUAGCUUUAAUGCUAGCUUGAAUUUCCUACUCUUACUUUUUUGACCUCAUUUUUUUUACAUUAAAACAUUUAAUAUUGUGACAUUAUUAUACACUUUUUUCUUAAGCGAAAUUAAAUAUUUUCUUAGAAUAAGAUAGUACUAAAUAAAUGAUUAAGUGAUUGAUAUUUUACAGUAGAAGCUCAAAUGAGCAAUAAACAUGUAAUGCAAAAGAAGUUUGUGGUAGACCAAGUGAUAACCACCCAAAGAUGUCCACUUCCUGCUUGCCUGUAUCUAUGAAUAUGUUAUCUUACAUGGCAAAAGGGACCCUACAGAUGUGAUUAAGUUAAGGAUCAUAAAAUGGAAGAUUAUCCUGGAUUUAUUGGGUAGGACCAAUAUAAUCACAAUGGUGCUUAUAAGACAGAAGGUGGAAACAAAUGAGUCAUGGAAGGAGAUAUGACGAUGGAAGCAGAAAUCAGAGAAAUGCAGCCACUAGCCAAGAGAUGCAGGCAGGCCCUAGACAUUGGAAGAGGCAUUGAACAGAUUCUCUCCUAAUAGCCUCUAAAAAGAAUGCAACUCUGCAGAACCUCUGAUGAUUUUCGUGCUGUAAGAGCUAUUCUGAACUUCUGAUUUCCAGAACUGUUAAAACCUUAAAUGUACAUUAUUAUAUAAUAGUACAUUUGUGGAAAUUUGUUACAGCAUCAGCAGGAGUAUAGUACAAGACUUUAAUGAGAUACACUUUACUCCUAUCAAAUUGCUUUUUUUUCCCCCUAGGUAACACUAAAUGUUUAGUAAAGUUUAGUAAAAAUAGAACUAAUAUCCACCACUGAUAAAGUAUAAGCUGAAAUAUUUUCAGAAAGUAAGCAGCAUAGACAAAGGUCUAAAUCCUUAAAGUAAUUUUAAUACUUUGACCAGGUAACUAAAUUUCAGGAAUUUAAGAUGAGAAAAUAAUUAGAUAUGUGUAUAAAUACCUUUACACAGUGCUGUGCAUUCAAACAUUACAUAUGCUGAAACUAGAUUCACUUAAAUGGUUUGGAUAAACUUUACUGUAUCCAUGCAAAGAAAUAUAUUACACAGUUGUCAACUGCAUUAAAUGCCAAAGUAAAGAGUCAGACACCUAAGUUAUUGUAUAUUAUAGCUCUAAUGUUAUAAAAUAUAACUAUAAAUCAAUAUUUGUGAAAGAAAAAUAUUAAUAUGAAAUAUACUAAUAUAACUCAUUUUUGAAUGAGAUGUGUGAUGUGUCUUUUUGCCUUUACAUCGUCCUGAUAUUUUUUCAUUUUUUCAUGAAGGGUUAGUACAUUACUUCCAUAAUCAUAAAAAGUAAAUAUGAAAUGUAUAUUUAACAUGUUAUUAUGAGGAAACUCAAUAAAUAAAGCAUAUCAUCACUGUUAUGCUGGAAACGAAUGCUGUAAGCCCAGAAUCCUCACAGUAAGAUAGCAUCAUUCUGUUAACUGAUAGUUGGAAAGCUAUUGGCUGGUAUGUCUGUCAAUUCAAUUGUUAAUCUGUAUUCUGUAUAUUUUUUAAUAUUAAAAAUCAUUUUAAAAUGUAAACUCCAUUAUUGUUAUAAUUUUAAAAAUUAACUAAGGUGCCAGGAGUUGUGAAUCAUCACCACAGGGUUAACAAUAAGAAGUUAUAUGACUUUCAACUCUUUCCUUUAACCUUCUGGAAUACAAUUUUCUCACCUAAAAAACAAAGAUGUUUCAUUAGAUGAUUAGUCGAUUAAUUUAUGGUUUUCCAAUUGUGACUCUUGUAAGGAUCUAAAAUAUUUAUGCCGCACACCUCUUCUGAGAAGAAACUGUCGUUGCUCCAAUAUUCCUGCCUACAUCUAACAAUAUUCCCCGUAAAUUACUCUGUAAUCCUUUUUCACUCCUUACAUGCCUUCAUGUCUCUUCUAGUAGAUUAGAUAACGAUGUAUGUUCCACUCUGAGCAGGUAUAUUCAGACCUACCUAUAAAGGUCAAGGGAGCUGAGAGGCCAAAGAAAGGGACUGACAAAUCCAGUUUCUCAGAAAGAAACUGUCAGGCCUCUGAGCCCAAGCCAACCAUCCCAGC
rnacentral:lncRNA from 1 species